UAGUAAGCUGGCAGAAUUAGACUCCCUCUUACAAAACAUUCUAAAGGGACUCUCAGAACUGGAUGUACAGGGCUCUCCAGGAAACCAUACCAGAACAUGGGCUGGCUUUAGAAAGAGUGGCUUAUCUUAUUUUCCAGGUGCCUUGUUUACCUGGACUGUGUCGAACAAGGGCCUCCCUUUUCCAAGACUCUGCAUCAUGGGGAUUAAUGAAGAGGACUUGUCAUUGCCUCCAGCUGCCAUUUAAAGCUGUCUCUGCUCCCUGCAGAGUGUGGAUGGUUUCCCAAGGAAAUUGUUAUCUCAGCCCAUAGCCUCUGCCUUUGUCCCUCUCUUACUGGAACCUUUGGGGGUAUAUCCAUGGGAAAUUCAGAGAUCACAUCCACUCUGUGCAGCUGAAUUUUGCUGGAGCUGGGCACAUGUUUGAACUGAUAGUAGAAAGAGGCCCUUGGGACCAUCAUGUGUAUCUAAGGAGCACCCAAUGCAUUUGCUUUGACCUGUGCUCUCCUUCUAUGCAAUGCCUGGCUCACCUGGUACCACAGACAGUGUUGCACAUGAAUAAUGUAGCACUCUUUCCUGCAGUGAGCAAUUUAAAGCAGAAAGGUGGCUCUGAUAAGGGAAUUCUGAAAAUACUAUGCUAGCAGGGAAGACUGAAUGUUUAAAUAACUGAACAUCCUCACUGAAGAUGAAUGUAUAAAACAAGGCAGAAUUUCUCUCUGGCAUGCUUUCCUUUGGUGACUGUGGGAGUUCUGUAGAGCUUUCCUAGCCAUGAUAGUAAGAAACAGGACAACUGCAUGGUGCUAAGUCACAGCUGGGGAGGUUGUUCUUCCUGUAACUCUCCUUCACCUUCUGCUGAAAAAUAUUCUCUCUGUUUUGCUGAGUACAAACCAACAGUAUGCCUUGGAGAAAGAAUGGCAAGUGGGAGGUCACAUGGUAGCUUUGCAUUCAUCUAUUCAUAUCUGUCCUGUAGACCCAAAUUGGCACCUGGUUAGGUUCCUUUCUGUAUUUUCCUGGGAUGGCAACAAUAAGUGAUUUACAAAUAAUUUCUCAGGCAGGUGUUAUUACCUGGGAUAAGAAGGCUUGGAAAUCUUCCUCUUCACAUUAGCACUUGCAAGCUUUUUGCCUUGAUUCAGUUCUUGAAGCCUACAUGGAAAUUGUGCUAAUCCAUCAGUUUAAACAUUCAUGCAGCUCCUUUCUGAGCCUCUAUAAGCAGAUUGGUAUUGCAGACGAUGCCUUAAGCUUCCUCUAAAACCUGUACUGGUACCUGACUACCAGGUCUAGCAGCUGCAAGUGAUAUUUCUUUCUGACUGUGAGCAACUGAGGAAAUUUAGCCCAUUCUAUCUGAUGGUAAUUUGGUUAUGGUGACUCACCUCCUUCCAUGUUUUCCAGGGUAAUUGUUACAACAUUCUCUAGCUGCCAACACAAUCCCCAGGGGUCUGUAGAAAAUUUUUAUUUGAAGUGUUCUAGUUGUAGAGGGUGGUUGUUAAUUUCUUUAAGUAUAACCAAAUCUGAGUCUAAUCCUAGCUAUCAGGUGUUAUUGGGAAACACUUCUAAAGAGGUAUCUUUCCUGCUUCUUCUGCAGAUACAUACCUUAGGAAUGAUGUAAUAAUCCGUACUAUAGGCUUAGGAGAGUAGGAUAUGUUUCUGUCCUAUAACUCAUCUGGACCUACACAGAUUUUCAUAUGCACUGACAUGUUGCCUUUGGCACCACAUUUCAGACUUGUACCUGUUGUUUUUCCAGUAAUAAAAAUUUUGGCUUAGCAGUAAUUGAUUGCACAUAGCACUCUGCAGAGUACAUUUUUUCUCACAUUUGCAGCCAAUAGAAAGAUGUAAAAAUGAUACCAAGUUGAAGAGCUUUGUAGGUCAAUUUAGUGAUAGCGGGAUUCGCUGCUAACCUUCUCUCUGCGCUUCUUUUGCUCAGCUGAUUGCUACAUCUGUUUUGACUUGUAAGCAGUCCUGUGUAGGGGGUCUGAAAGUGAAGCUGAUUCAUCCUUCAUGGGACAGACUAGUCAAACUAUACUGCUUUGUGGCCAGGCUAAAAAGUUGAUUUUGCAAUGUAAUAAGCAGCUCAAAAAGUGAAGCACAGGAUGACUCAAAGAGUCAUACACAUGCUGUCUUUUAACAUCAGCAAUCUAGCCCCUCUAUUGCAAGAGCCUUCCCCUCUCUCCCAUGUUUCUCUGACAGCAGUUUUGAAAAGUACAACUUCAUCCUCCCUUCCCUGUGCACCACAUGCUGGUGUCGUACUCAGUCCUUACUCAUUCCAACCGUCUCCCCCAGCAGAUUCCAACCCUCUCCCCCAGCCCUCCAGCUUCAAUUGCUGAGGUGCAGCAGAAGCAUCCUGACUAUACUUCCAACACAUAUAGUCCAGAUAUAAACACAUAUUUCCAGUUAACUUCCAGAUAACACAUAUACUUCCAGUCCACAUAUAGUCUCCAGGUGUGUUACAGUCAGCUGUGACUGUGCCUGAAUCCAUAGGGAACAUACCUCACCAGAUGCAUUCCAAGUCCUGUGCGUUUUCAUGAGCCUGGACACAGAGCCACCAGAUAUGCCUAGCCACCAUUGCAGCAGGUGCUACAUUUCUGCAGGAGUAAUAUGUACGGGCUCAGGCUGUUGGAAUCUCUUUGCCAAGAAAUCCAUGUAAAAUGCAGCAUGUCCAAGCAGUCACUCCUGUUUGAGACCCCUUGUCACCCUGCCCUAAAUUCUUCUUAGUCUUCCUCUCUGCCUGGAGUAUGCGAGUGCAUAUUGGCGUCCUAGGCUUGGUGACAGCAGAGCCAGUUUGGGCAAGGUGGUCCAGGUUUGCCUUGUCUCAGGGCAGACCAGUGAAUUUUAAGCUGCAUCAACUGACUCAGCAACGUAAUUGCUUUCUAAAAAAUGAUCUUUAAAGAUGCAUGUGUUGGAUUUGGACCUCACCCAAAGCAGUCUGGCUGGUGCAGAAAUGCUAGGUUAGUUUGGUUAAAUCCAAAUCCACUGAGAUCCUUAGCUGGCUUUGAAGCAGCAUAGCUGCUGGUCCCACUGCUCCUGGAAAGCUUCCUAUGAUAAAUGGCGUAGCCAUACAGAAGAAUACCAUCAGUUCCCUUCUAUGUACUGCUCGUCUGACUUUUGAAGAACCAAGUACUUCUACUUGCAAAGUCUGAGUGGCUUGGCUAUAACCCUUUUGGAAACCUUAGGCAUUGUUGAAAACCAAUUUUCUUUCUCUUUUCCACCCACUGCCUUGUCUUCUGAGUCAGACAAUGCCUGAAAAGAAAUGUGAUUUUUUUUUUGUACAGUGGACAGAGUUUAACAAAUAAAAAAUCAAAUAGAAAUAAAUUUCAAUAUUGUGCAGAGUGCUUCUAGGCUAGCUUCAAAGAUACUUCAAUGCUCCAUCUCCCCUGACUUAGCCAACAGCAUGCUUCAUUUACUUUCUUUGGAGUUACAAUUUGGGAAUUACUCCUCCAUUUCACUGUCAAAGUUGAAAUAGUGAUGCAAUUCAAUUGAGGCACCUGUUUUAAACAAUAAUGCUGUGACACAGCAUCUCUGCAAUAAAAAGGUUUCAAUGAAUUAGGGAGGUAACUUCUCCUUUGAGGGAGGAACACAGCAAACAGAGGUUUAGGACAUGGAACUGGCUUCAGCACAGCCAGCCCUAAAACCUUCACUGUUGCUGUCUAUAAGGCCUGACCAUUUAGGAAAGUGGCUCUUUUCUAAAUCUCCUCACUCUGUCAAGCAUGUGACAUUUGGGAGUUUCUAAGCUCUUGUAGUUUCAUAAUUUUUUCAAUCAGUUGAAUCCCAAAGGUCCUAAAACCUGUGACUCUGCAUCUUACCCUUGUCUCCUCAUCCUUGUAAGGUGAGAAAAAUCAUAUAUAUCCACUUCCACCUGAGGCUGUCUCUGGAUGCCCUUGCCCUACCUUAAAAUCAUUUACCUGUAACCACUGAUCUCUUGUGGCUGUCUAAACUCAGCAGUUAGGUUAACAACAAAAUUUCCAAAAAUAGUACAACCAAUAUCACCCAAUAAAAAUAGUCAUAUGAAGCACUUUUAUUUGAUGCAUGCUGCUGCAUGCUGUGGAGAAAUUAUUGGAAAAAUGGCCUGCACUAAAGUGUUUGCUUCUUCCCUAUCUUCUUCAGAAAAUUUCUUCAAUAUUUGAGUCUGGGUGCCAGUAGAAUACUUCUCUUAACUGCAAGAUAAUCCGUAAUGCAUCUUGGCCUUGAGCAGCAAACUUCAGAGUUUGUCUGUAUUAUGGAUUUUGAAGACAAAAUGAAAAUUGUCAUUCAUUGGUUUAUCCUCAAGAUUAUGUUUCAGCAGCUCUUCUCUGAAGCUACAAGAUCAGCUUCCAGUUUCAGUUAUUUCACUGUCAGGAGUACAGCACUAUUUGGAGAAUUCCUGAUGACAGACUCCCAUUUGCUGCUUUGGUUUCCAUUAUGAAAAACCACAAAGGAAAAGCUAUGUAGCAAACUACUUUGGUUUGCUGUUUGUUAAAAUGAAUGCAGAUUCUUCUGCUGUACAGGGACCACCUCUGCAAUUUAAAAAAACCCCAUAAAUAUUCCCUGCAGCAUACUAAGAAAUUUCCCUGAAGUCAAACGGGAGGCUCCAAGAACUUCAAGAAGUUCUUCCAAGAAGGCAGGCAUUGCCUCUCCUCAAUUCUGACUGUAAAGAAAAGAAGUUUUGAUACCCUUCAGCAACAGAAUGUGAUCAACAAGGAUGCAACAAGCAACAGUUUAUUUGUAGAAAAAUCCUUUAAAAUUUACUACAAUGUAAGAUUAAGGAAAAAAUAGUCUUAAUAUAUGUACAUACAAUAUAUAUAAACAAACACAUAUCGCACCAUGAAAAUUACAUGCUUUUAAGAACAGAGAAUGGGUUCUAUUCCCUCAUAUCAAUUUAAAAGUUAUCACUGCAAGAAACCUUGCUUCCUUUUUUUUUUAUCCCCAUCAAAGUGUUCAAGUACAGGAAGUAAGUAAUGCAGGAUCUAAUAGUAGAAAACCUUUGUUAUACACAAAUUACAACUGACAGCUAGACAAUAUUAUUCUGCAGUAUCCAACACUUGUAUUUUUUGAACUCUAUUAUAAUGAUAUGAACUUUUACCUGAGGUGCAUGGAAAUAACAAAGCAUGAUAAUUGGCAAGUUUAAGAGAUUUUCACAUUAUGAUUUGACUGUAAUUGAAGUUGAUCAGGUAUCACACCUAUACCUAUAGUACUGGCACAAGAAUGCUCUGCGUGAGUCAUCACCAAUGACUUAGAAGUGCAGGAAAAAUUAACAGGCAAGCACCACUUGCAAUGAUAAGCAUGCAGACAAUUUAAGUGAAACAGAGGUAGCAUGUUCUUGUAACUCCAGCAGGGUCAUUCAAAUCAACUGUACCCUCCCUCCUGCAAAAGGCACUCACUUUUUCAGCUAAAAACGAUGCACUUAAGUUUGGUCAGAUUGACCGCAAAUGGUGGAUUUCUCUCCUUACAAAUAUAAAAAGAAGUUAAGCAGAGGACACAGUGAAAAUGAAAAAAAAAACAAUGUAAGAAACAGACACAUAAGGUACUAUGUGCUAUUCUUCUCCCCCACCUUUUAUGGGGAGAAUUAUAU